GCCAGCGUGGCCCAGCGGUUUCAGUAUUGGACUAUGACUCCGGAGAUCCAGGGUUUGAUUCCCAGCUCAGCCA